GCCGGUGUAGCUCAGCUGGCAGAGCAGCUGUUUUGUAAACAGCAGGUCGUCGGUUCGAUCCCGACCACCGGCUCCA
rnacentral:tRNA from 1 species